CACACACUCUCUCUCUCUCUCUCUCUCUCAAACUAAAUAAAUAAGUCAAUUUUUUCCAGUUUAAAAAAAUAACAAAAUACAACCAUUGUAACAAUAUAAUGAAAGUUACGUGAACGUGGUCUGUCUCUCAAAAUGUCUCGUGCUGCACUCACCCUUCUUCUUCCUCCUGUGAUGCUGUGAGCUGACAAAAUGCCUGUGUCAAUGAUGAGAUAAAGUGAGGCGGGAGACGCAGGCCUUGUGACUUGGCGUCAGGCUACUAUUGACCUGAUGGUGCUCCCGGAGGAUCAUCUGCUUCCGGACCCUGGUUGACCUCGGGUAACCGAAGUCUGUGGGUAAGGGGAGACGACGGUAUAGGCCUGGCGCUCAAGGAGAACGUUCGGGAAAGAAGCUGUAGCUAGAAAGGUAGGCGUGAUGAUCGUUUUUGUCGGUCGUGUCUCAGAACUAUCCCCUCAACUUCUCACUUUACGUCGCGGCCUGUAGCCCGUAGUAACUCUGCUUUCUGUAAUGCACAGUGCACUUGCGACCUUGGUCCGUCCUCAAUUUGGUGAACGUUCCGUGCGUCCCUGAAAACAGUGAAUUCGCUUUUUGAGUCUAAUGUGUAUCAACAAUACCUUUUUAUCUACCGAUAGCUGCCCUUUAAUUUGGCUUACUUAUGUUCAAGGCUGAAAGACACAAUAAGGUCUUUUUUUUCUAUUGCACUUCUAUUCGAGUACCCAUAUGGUCUAUCUGGUGUUGAUUCCUCCUUCUGGAUUCGAUGUAAUUGAUCACAUAUACUGGUUUAUGGUCUGCCUUCCCUGUACUCGAACCUCUUACCAAUGUAAGGACUCCAGAUGCGUUGACUGCUCUUUGCCUGUAAUUCUACCUGGCGGGGAUCAGGAUCGUCACCGCGGCCCACUUUUUGUUUAUUUGCGGAUCACCGCCUGCCCAGUCCUUUAUUUGUAAUGUUUAAAGCAAAUGACAAGUUUUCUUUCAGGAUUUAACGUAUGAUGAAGGUGAUGUUUUGCAACUAGUCGGGAAAGGAUGGAUUGUUCAGCAAAUGAUGUGGGCACCACUGUUUUCCCAUGAGGAAAAAAGAUGAUUAAAUGUUAAAAAACAAGAAAGAACCGCAAAUCUACUGGAAGAGACAUGGGCGUGUUUAUAGCAGCUCACCCCUGCUCAGUGGCCCUGGCCUUGAAAGCACACGUCCCUCCGCCCCCCGCUCGUCGUCCUUCUGGUCUGGGCUCAAGCGACACUUCCUCGGGCGGGUGGCUCAUCCUCCUCUGCACCGGGCAAAGGUCACCUGGCGUAUCUCAUGCCUACCUCGCCUUUGCCACAUUUUGGACAUUUGUAAGUUACCCAAGUAUUUGGAGGGUUUUUGUUUGUUUUGAGAGACAGAGAGUGCACGU